GACGAACCGUGCAAACGUUGUUCGGAAUCACUGGGCUUAAAGGGCGCGUAGGCGGACGUUCAAGUCGGUGGUGAAAUCCCCCAGCUUAACUGGGGAACGGCCUUCGAUACUGGGCGUCUCGGGUAAGGUAGGGGCAUGCGGAACUGAUGGUGGAGCGGUGAAAUGUGUUGAUAUCAUCAGGAACUCCGGUGGCGAAAGCGGCGUGCUGGACCUUAACUGACGCUGAGGCGCGAAAGCCAGGGGAGCAAACGGG
rnacentral:rRNA from 1 species